rnacentral:sRNA from 1 species
UUGAAGAUAUUUCUCACUAUACUCAGCAUACACUGCUGUGACUGAGCAAGAGCGAGCCAUUGUAUUCAACACAGUUGGUGAAUCAAAUGAGGAAAAAGUGUGAUUUCUCUCUUUUAAGGGCAUCUGUAUUCUGACUCACUCAGAACCUGAUCACAUUGUACAUGGUGACUGGAGUCAGUGCUCACACCUUAAAUUUGUCUGCACAUCGCAAUCACCCUGGUCUCUACAAUAAUAAGGCUUCUCACUGUGACAGUGAAACUGGAGUAUAAGCGAGUGGGCCUGGGAACCUAUAUUCCCUUCUGAACAACAGCAACAAAACAACAAAAUUUCCCAAUAUGAUACAGGAUUUAGUUUUGUUCGUCCUUCCCUGAAUCAGAGGAGUAUGUCAAUGCUCUUGAUACGGCUUACACUCAGGUCACUGUCACUCAGUGCCUGGUUUUAUUUCACCGCCCACUCCCUUACUUUUUAUAAUAUUUCAGUGUUCCUCACACUAUGCCCAGCAUUCAGUGGGUAUUAUGUAAUAUUCAUAAUAUUUAAAUUUCAGGAUUAGCGUAACCAUGUUCCCUUCCUACCGGCAUCCAUUCACAAACCUGAUCCCAAGUCAUUCCAGCGUGGAAAUCAGAUAAAGUACACGAGGGAAAAGACAGAGUUCUCAUUCAGGAUAAAGACGUGUUCCUUUUCCCUGGGUUUCAAUUUUAAACUAAACAUUCCCAAAAAUCGUCUCACUAAACAUGGAGACAUCAACAUGGCUUUUUAAUUCUAAAGCCAGAAACUUCCUGCUGGCCAGAGGGCUAUCACAGGAAAAGAUGAUAGAGAAACUAAGAGGGAGUCUGAGAGCAAAGUGUGGGCUCUUUGAGCCUUUUGAGCUGCAGCCACUCUGGGUAGACACAGGCUUUUCAGGAUGGUGAAACCGCUCUUCAUGAUACAGUGAUGAUGGAUACAGGGAACGUUCAAUGUAACACUCCAUGGUUGCUGGUGUUUAGAAUCAGCAUGGAAACAAACCUCUGGGCAUGUUGGUGAAGUACUUUCUAGAUUGGCUUCAGGAGGUGGGAAGACCAACCAUAAAUGUAGGGGACAUUGAACAGUGGGUUGAGGUCCUGGGCUGGGUCGAAAGGAGAAAGGAGGUUGAGCCAGUGUUCCUUGCUCUCUGCUUUCUGUCUCAUAUUCAGCGAGGCCAGUGGUGUUAAGAUCCUGCCAUCACACCGUCCCCACCGUGAUGGACUGUAGCCUCAAACCAUGAGCCUAGACACCCUUCCCUUCCUCCGGCUCUUCAUCAGAUAACAAAAGGCUCCUUGAAGGGUUGACUGUCCUGUGUUCCUCUUCUACUUGGCCCAAGCUGACUUCCACAGUGCAGGAUGAACUCUUCCCAGAAAUUCAAUUCCAGUCUCUUUGCUUGUCUCACUGCUUGCUUGAUACAUUUGUAAAGCUGCCACCCAGCAAAUAUUUAUGGAUGCCACUCUGCCAAGCACAUCACUAGAUCUGGAAGAUUCCGAGUGUGAUCUAAGCAGAGCUUUGACUCUGAUCCCGAUUACCUUCCAUAGAAGAAAAGGCAGCCAAAGGCAGAGGUGGUCGGUGAAGGGUCCUUAAGAAGGGGGAAGGGGCUCCUUUGUAAGCAUAUUUUUUGGGCAGAGAUCUAAAGAGAAGUGUGGAAGUUCCAUGAGGAAAUGCUUCUCACAUAUGCUGACCAAAAUGAAUGGCUCUUUUGAGACUUGUGUUUGAGGGUGUGUUGCGGCCUACAUAUUUUGGGUAUUUUUUUUUUGUAUCAUGUAAAAAUAGUCAUCAGUGAUUAUUAUCACAUUGGUAAUUAUUAUGAAGUGUUCUCAGCUUGGUGGGAGUAAAAUCUGCUAGACUGGAAUAAAUUUAAUUAUGUCCUCAAAUGUGACAAGAUAAGGCAAAAAAUAUCCUGGCCACUGAGAAGAGGGUGGGUGGGUUUGGCCUGGAAACUGGAAUGACUUGAAUCACAGAUGGGAUUUCAGGAUGCUAUAGGAUAAAGAUAGCCAGCAUCAUGGCUGAUAUUUGUAUCCUCCGUGGCGUUUAUUCUGAUAGCUCAAUUCAAUAAGCCUGUAUAAAGUAUAAAAUUGCCUUACCCUCAAAAAAGUUUGUAGCUUAGUGCUCGCUGACUGUCUAUCAUGUCUGUCUGUCUGCCUGUCUGUCUAGUCUAUCAUCCCUACUUCUGUGUGUAUGUGUGUGGUAU